GUGAAUCAUCAAAUUUUUGAACGCAAAUUACACUCUCUUCGGAGAGUAUGCCUGUUUGAGGUUCAGCCUAAUUAAAAAUCGACAUAGUCUCUGUUUCGCGGUGACAUUCGUCGGAAAUUGGGUCAUCUUAAACCUUUUGGUUUUGAGCGGCUUAAGAUUUUCUUUAUUCUUCCACGAACUUUUCUAAUAUUUUCUUCUUAUACGUUUAAGGUAUCGAUCUUUAUUAGACGUGGCCGUUGCAUCGGAUCUCUUCCAU
rnacentral:misc_RNA from 1 species